rnacentral:rRNA from 1 species
GACGAACGCUGGCGGCGUGCCUAAUACAUGCAAGUAGAACGCUGAAGGAGGAGCUUGCUUCUCUGGAUGAGUUGCGAACGGGUGAGUAACGCGUAGGUAACCUGCCUGGUAGCGGGGGAUAACUAUUGGAAACGAUAGCUAAUACCGCAUAAUAGUAGAUGUUGCAUGACAUUUGCUUAAAAGGUGCAAUUGCUUCACUACCAGAUGGACCUGCGUUGUAUUAGCUAGUUGGUGGGGUAACGGCUCACCAAGGCGACGAUACAUAGCCGACCUGAGAGGGUGAUCGGCCACACUGGGACUGAGACACGGCCCAGACUCCUACGGGAGGCAGCAGUAGGGAAUCGUCGGCAAUGGACGGAAGUCUGACCGAGCAACGCCGCGGGAGUGAAGAAGGGUUUCGGAUCGUAAAGCUCUGUUGUAAGAGAAGAACGAGUGUGAGAGUGGAAAGUUCACACUGUGACGGUAUCUUACCAGAAAGGGACGGCUAACUACGUG